rnacentral:rRNA from 1 species
UACGGGGGGGGCAAGCGUUGUUCGGAAUUACUGGGCGUAAAGGGCUCGUAGGCGGCCAACUAAGUCAGACGUGAAAUCCCUCGGCUUAACCGGGGAACUGCAUCUGAUACUGGAUGGCUUGAGUUCGGGAGAGGGAUGUGGAAUUCCAGGUGUAGCGGUGAAAUGCGUAGAUAUCUGGAGGAAUACCGGUGGCGAAGGCGGCAUCCUGGACCAACACUGACGCUGAUGAGCGAAAAGCCAGGG